GGCGAGCAUGUGAAUGUGAGCGAAUCCCAAAAAUAACGUCUCAGUUCGGAUUGUAGUCUGCAACUCGACUACAUGAAGCUGGAAUCGCUAGUAAUCGCGAAUCAGAAUGUCGCGGUGAAUACGUUCCCGGGUCUUGUACACACCGCCCGUCACACCAUGGGAGUUGGGAAUGCCCGAAGCCGGUGACCUAACCGAAAGGGAGGAGCCGUCGAAGGCAGGCUUGAUAACUGGGGUGAAGUCGUAACAAGGUACC
rnacentral:rRNA from 1 species